rnacentral:rRNA from 1 species
UUGUAAUAUUGAUGAUUAAUUUGUAGCUUGCCAUAAAUUAUGAUUUGGUGUUACGAAUUGAUUCUAGUGGCAAACGGGUGAGUAACACGUGAGUAACUUACCCUUGACAGGUGUAUAACCUUGGGAAACUGAGGCUAAUUCGCCAUACUCUUAAAAAGAUAAUUUCUUUUUAAGGAAAGGUGUAUCGAAAGAUAUUUGGUCAAGGAGAGACUCGCGGUCUAUCAGUUAGUUGGUGAGGUAAUGGCUCACCAAGACUAUGACGGAUAGCUGGCCUAAAAGGGCGACCAGCCACAUUGGCACUGAGACACGGGCCAGACUCCUACGGGAGGCAGCAGUGGGGAAUUUUGGACAAUGGUCUAACGACUGAUCCAGCAAUACCGCGUGGAGGAUGAAGGUUUAAGGAUUGUAAACCCCUUUUAUGAAGGAAAAAGUUUUGUUCUGCAAAAUUGAUGGUACUUCAAGAAAAAGCCACGGCUAACUACGUGCCAGCAGCCGCGGUAAUACGUAGGUGGCAAGCGUUACUCGGAAUUACUAGGUGUAAAGCGUGGGUAGGCGGUUUUAUAAGUUGGAAGUGAAAGCUCCGAGAAAAUCGGAGUGGUCUUUCAAAACUAUUUGACUUGAGUAUAGGAGGGGGAGUCGGAAUUCCUGGUGUAGCGGUGAAAUGCGUAGAUAUCAGGAGGAACACCGAUGGCGAAAGUGGAUUCCUGGCCUAUUACUGACGCUGAGCCACGAAAGCGCAGGGAGCAAACAGGAUUAGAUACCCUGGUAGUCUGCGCCAUAAACGAUGCUCACUUGAUAUGGGAGGUGUCGACCCCUUCCGUGUCGAAGCUAACGCAUUAAGUGAGCCACCUGGGGAGUACGGCCGCAAGGUUGAAACUCAAAGGAAUUGACGGGGGCCCGCACAAGCGGUGGAGCAUGUGGUUCAAUUCGACCAACGCGAAGAACCUUACCCGGGCUUGAAGAGCUAGUUGUAUCCAGAUUGAAAAGUUUGGAGACCCGCAAGGGAGCUAGUAGAGGUGCUGCAUGGUUGUCGUCAGCUCGUGCCGUGAGGUGUAUGGUUAAGUCCCAUAACGAGCGCAACCCCUAUCCUAUGUUGCUAAUUCCGUUCUACGGAAUGCACUCUUAGGAGACUGCCCCGGUUAACGGGGAGGAAGGUGGGGAUGACGUCAAAUCAUCAUGGCCUUUAUGUCCGGGGCUACACACGUGCUACAAUGGUUGCUACAAAGGGACGCAAAACUGUAAAGUCAAGCAAAUCUCAAGAAAGUAACCUCAGUUCGGAUCGAGGGCUGCAAUUCGCCCUCGUGAAGUCGGAAUCGCUAGUAAUCGCUGAUCAGCAGGCAGCGGUGAAUACGUUCCCGGGCCUUGUACACACCGCCCGUCACACCAUGGAAGCUGGCUGCAAUAGAAGUGCUUCAACUAUCGAAGUCCUAAGUUGUGGUUGGUGACUGGGGUGAAGUCGAACAAGGUAGGCGUACGAACGUG